rnacentral:lncRNA from 1 species
CCUAUAUAAAUUCCUAUUGUUUUUGCCGCAUGGCAAAUUUUCUUUCAACUUCACUAGAUCUUUUUUUGAACUCAUAUUUGCUCUUGACUCUCCCCCCUCAUCUCUAUUUAAUGACCUAUAAUUAAUGUGCUCUUUAAUUUAUACGUUACUUAUUUUCCUCUUCAAUAUUAGUCAUUUCUUCUCCAUCAAACCUCCUUUCAACACCAAACCCUUCACCUCCAAAUCCUUUAAAAUCACGAGAAUUAAUUAAUCGAAAAUGCAACAUUUAAUUAUAUGCACCAUAUUCCACCAAUGAGUGGGCUUUAUAACUCCAAUUCACUCCCCAUCUCCAUUAAUCCCCCACCCCUCCCUUUUGCAUGGCCUCUUAUUUUCCAUGCAAAAAAGAAUAUCAUCAUCUAAUUUCCCACCCUGCACUCAUCUAGCUUUUUCUCUCUCAUUGUAUUAAUGAAGAUGAUGAGGAUGAUGAAGAAGAAGAAGAAAAAGAAAAAGUGCAUGCGAAGAACGUUGUCUCCUUCGAGAAGCAUCGUCCCGCAAAGUCGAGCCGUGGCCCAUAUAAGUGUCUGCUGGGUUGAUUCAACUACUCUGUGGCCCAUAUAAGUGCUAGCUCUUUUUUUUUCUUUCACAACGGAAUGUUCAAAAGGCACAUAAUACUAUAAAAUUGUAGUCUAUUACUGUAUUUCAAUGAUUUUUAAAAAAUUAUAUAAGCUUCUAACUAUAAUUUUAUUUUUUUAGUAGUUGAAUUUAGUCAUGCAAAUUGACUGUGCUUAACAUGGUAUAAUUUCCUAUACAUCAAUAAGCUGUAAAUAUAAAUUUUAUUAAAAUUUUAAAAUUUUGUUUCUAUUAUCUACCCGCUGCAUCGCACGGGUCUCUACACUAGUAAUCUUAUUAUUUGGGAACACAAAGGAAGCCUCCCGGGUUUGGGGGGCUUCCGGUGGGCCCCACUUUUUUCUCUUUUUUUUGUUGUCCUUUUCCCUUCUCUCUCUCUCUCUUCAACAAAUUUUUUUAUUUUUUCUUACAGUAAGUGUAAAAUUUUAUCACAUGAAUCAAUCUUAUUUUUUAAUAAUCAAUAUAACAAAAUUAAAAUUUUAUUUAAUAAAUAUCAAUAUAUUUUUUUUUAUUUUUUUUCUAUAUCAAGUAUAAAAUUUUAUCGUAUAGAGAAAUCCUAUUUUUUAAUAAUCAAGAUAACAAAAUUAAAAUUUCAUCUAAUUAGGAAUCCAAAAAUGAUCUCCCCUUAUUUUAGAGGGUUGUGUGGCCCACAAAUUUUUUUUUGUAUUUUUUUAGGAUUAAUCGUAUAGUGCUUUCCAAACUUUCCACCAUUUUUUCUGUUCCUAAAUUUUUUCAAACCUCUUAAUUCCAUCGCGAUAAAAUAGCAACCGUUAAAACAUAUUUUAGAAUUAACGAAAUUACCUAUUUAACUUUUUUUGCAUGCUAAUUUUAAUCCCUAAAUUUUGCAUAUUUUUCACUUUAGUCCCCAAAACAUAUAUGAAUUGGCAACACUAAAGAAUACCUCUUAUUAUUUUGGAGGGUUGUGAGGUCCACACAAUUUUUUUAAGGAUUAAUUUAUAUAUAUAAGAUUUAAUAUUUUUAGAAAGAAAUCUACUUUAAUUUCAUUCUUUAAUUUUUUAUUAUUCAAUAUUGAGAUAAAUAAUAUUUAAAAAUAUUAAGGCAUAAUAGAAAAAAAAAAUAAUGUUAAUAAUUAUAAUAGUUUACUAUUGUAUUAUCUUCCCGCCGUAUCGCGCGGGAGCUCCUUAACUAGUUAAUGUAAUUUACGAGCAAAAAC